UACGUAGGCAGCGAGCGUUGUUCGGAGUUACUGGGCGUAAAGAGCGUGUAGGCGGUUUGGUAGGUCCGCUGUGAAAACUCGAGGCUCAACCUCGAGACGCCGGUGGAAACCAUCAGGCUAGAGUCCGGAAGAGGAGAGUGGAAUUCCUGGUGUAGCGGUGGAAUGCGCAGAUAUCAGGAGGAACACCAAUGGCGAAGGCAGAUCUCUGGGCCGUAACUGACGCUGAGGAGCGAAAGCAUGGGGAGCGAACAGG
rnacentral:rRNA from 1 species